rnacentral:rRNA from 1 species
CAUGCAAGUCGAGCGGUAGAGAGAAGCUUGCUUCUCUUGAGAGCGGCGGACGGGUGAGUAAUGCCUAGGAAUCUGCCUGGUAGUGGGGGAUAACGUUCGGAAACGGACGCUAAUACCGCAUACGUCCUACGGGAGAAAGCAGGGGACCUUCGGGCCUUGCGCUAUCAGAUGAGCCUAGGUCGGAUUAGCUAGUUGGUGGGGUAAUGGCUCACCAAGGCGACGAUCCGUAACUGGUCUGAGAGGAUGAUCAGUCACACUGGAACUGAGACACGGUCCAGACUCCUACGGGAGGCAGCAGUGGGGAAUAUUGGACAAUGGGCGAAAGCCUGAUCCAGCCAUGCCGCGUGUGUGAAGAAGGUCUUCGGAUUGUAAAGCACUUUAAGUUGGGAGGAAGGGUUGUAGAUUAAUACUCUGCAAUUUUGACGUUACCGACAGAAUAAGCACCGGCUAACUCUGUGCCAGCAGCCGCGGUAAUACAGAGGGUGCAAGCGUUAAUCGGAAUUACUGGGCGUAAAGCGCGCGUAGGUGGUUUGUUAAGUUGGAUGUGAAAUCCCCGGGCUCAACCUGGGAACUGCAUUCAAAACUGACUGACUAGAGUAUGGUAGAGGGUGGUGGAAUUUCCUGUGUAGCGGUGAAAUGCGUAGAUAUAGGAAGGAACACCAGUGGCGAAGGCGACCACCUGGACUAAUACUGACACUGAGGUGCGAAAGCGUGGGGAGCAAACA